UACGAAGGUCCCAAGCGUUAUCCGGAUUUAUUGGGUUUAAAGGGUGCGUAGGAGGGCAGGUAAGUCAGUGGUGAAAUCUCCGAGCUUAACUUGGAAACUGCCGUUGAUACUAUCUGUCUUGAAUAUUGUGGAGGUGAGCGGAAUAUGUCAUGUAGCGGUGAAAUGCUUAGAUAUGACAUAGAACACCAAUUGCGAAGGCAGCUCGCUACACAUAUAUUGACUCUGAGGCACGAAAGCGUGGGGAUCAAACAGG
rnacentral:rRNA from 1 species